rnacentral:lncRNA from 1 species
CACUGGGCCAUGCUUCCUGACCAUAUGCCCAAAUAAACCAUCAAUCGGUGUUCCUCACAGCAUCAGGAAAGCAACAAAUGCACAAGCUAUGGAGUGGGCGCUGAGUUGAGGAAAAUUUUCCCGUUCGUUUGUUCCUUCCCGCUUCACACUCCGGGAACUGCAGGGACAGAGGAAGCUGGCUGCUGGUUCUCAGUAUAAUUGGACUUGGUUUCGGGAACCCCUGCCUAGGGAAUGGCAUCACCCACAGUGGCUGGCUCUUCAGAUGUCUACCAACCAUCCAGAUGAUCCAUACAGACAUGCCCACAACCUAACCUGAUCUAGAUAAUUCCUCAUUAGGACUCCUCCCUAGUUGUUCCAGGGUGUGUCAAGUUGACAGUUAAAACUGACCAGCAUGGAGGCCAAUGCAGCUUCCCAGGGUAUGUGUUGCGAUUAGAAUAUCAAAUGUUCCCCGAGGACAAUGAUGUG